CCACUAUGCCCAGCCCUAAACACAAACAAUUUACUCAACAAAAUUGUCUGCCAGAGAACUACUAGCAACAGCUUAAAACUCAAAGGACUUGGCGGUGCUUUAUAUCCCUCU
rnacentral:rRNA from 1 species